rnacentral:ncRNA from 1 species
AAGAAAAGAUGCAGGUCCUUCAAGCAGCCAUCUACGCUUGCCGAUGCCUCCUAAAGAGUAACGGAAGUUGUGAGAAGGUAGGCUCGAGCAAAGAUUCUGCUCGUAAGUGUAAUGGUAUAAGCAUGCCUGGCUGUGAGACAGACUGGUAGAACAGAGACGAAAGUCGAGCAAAGGUACGCCGGGGAUAACAAGCUGAUGACACCAAAGAGAUUUUAUCGAUAGAGUCGCUUGGCACCUCGAUAUCGACUCAUCACAUCCUAGGGUUGAAAAAGGUCCCAAAGGUGUUCGCAGUUGCUAUCUUUUAGCAAUUUAAUGCGGUUGAAUGUGAUCUCGUUAACUCUGGUUUUUAU